rnacentral:lncRNA from 1 species
UCUAGAGGGUGGACUGUGCUGCAGACGGCAGCUGGCCAUUUCCAAGCUUCCCUUGCAGCUAGGUGGGGCUGUAUGUCUGAACUCUCGUCCGGGGCAUGUGAGCAAAGGGGUGGGUUCAACUUCUGCCUCACCUGCUUAAGAGGAAAUUCCUGCUCUAGACCUCCAUGUUGUCCCCUCACGUUGGCUGGGAGAGUGACAACAAGAAGGAAUCUGGAAGCUUCGCGGUAAAGAGAGCAGGGACGUCAUUAGUCCAGGUUCUAAAUGACCCUGUGGAGCCGAGCCAUGUACCAACCUGAAAUGUUUCCCUGGGAACGAUUACAUGAGCAGAUACAAAGAAGAAAACCACAAAGGCUCGGCUGUUGGGGCUGGUGAGGCCAGAGGAAAUGGAACAGAACUGUGGGCUGCCCAAGGAGGAAGGGACCUUCCAGACGAGCUGGUCCUUGUCCUAGACCCAUCUACACAGCAGUCGCUCCAUCGCUCCAGCGCAGCGAGAUCCGCCCGGGCGAGCCCCGCCCCACCCGGCCCAGGGCGCCCCCAGGCCUAGACCUGGAGAGGGAGUGAGCGUCAAGGAGCACGCCUGUGGUCACGGACACGAGCCAAGGUCGCCCAGACAGCCUUGGCAGCAAGAACACUGAUAUUCUGAGCUCACAGCGGAGUCCUGCAUCUGCUUUUCUUUUGCUUCAGCGCUCAAGGCAAGAAGGGGUGUUACCGACACCAGGAAACCCGAGAGCUUUUCUCCUCGCCUCUCCCGAGGCACCCACCAGGCCACAUACACAGAUCUCUCUGCUUGGGCUCCUGACGUGCUUUCGCACGGGUCUUCCCACCUCUACUGCCAUCCCCUCGCUCCCUCCUGGUCAAUACGCUUUCCUGAAAAUCACCGUCCCAGCCCUCGGUGGCUCCCCCACCAGAGCCCUCUGCCUGAGGUGGCCCCCAGCCCUGAUCUGGGCCCCUCUUCCUCUCUCACCGCCUCUCCUCCAGCUCAGCAUUCCCUCCACAAGCCCUGGACACAGACACCCAGGACGCGCACUGCUCACGAGCCUUUGGGCUGUCACUGCAGGGCCCUCUUCCCCCUUCUCCAGGUGCC